rnacentral:rRNA from 1 species
UGAGGAAUUUUGCGCAAUGGGAGCAAUCCUGACGCAGCAACGCCGCGUGGGUGAUGAAGGCCUUCGGGUCGUAAAGCCCUGUCAGGUGGGAAGAAUGUCCCGGAAUUGAACAGGUUUCGGGAGUGACGGUACCACCAGAGGAAGCACCGGCUAACUCCGUGCCAGCAGCCGCGGUAAUACGGAGGGUGCAAGCGUUAUGCGGAAUUACUGGGCGUAAAGCGCGUGUAGGCGGUCCUGCAAGUCUGAUGUGAAAGCCCCGGGCUUAACCCGGGAAGUGCAUUGGAAACUGCAGGACUAGAGUACUGGAGAGGAUGGGAGAAUUCCCGGUGUAGAGGUGAAAUGCGUAGAGAUCGGGAGGAAUAUCAGUGGCGAAGGCGCCCAUCUGGACGGUAACUGACGCUGAGACGCGAAAGCGUGGGGAGCAAACA